rnacentral:lncRNA from 1 species
UUUUUUUUUUUUUUUCAAGUUGCAUCAAAGUAUAGUUGAUUCAUAAUACUGUGGUAUUGAUGUGCUUAUGACUCAAUUUUAUUUUUUUUUAACUUUUUAAUUAUAGUUGAUUUAUCCUACUCUGUCCAUUUCUGCUGUACAGCAAAGCGACCGAGUCAUACAUAUAGACACACAUUCUUUUUCUCAUGGCUGUAUCAUUGCUGCUGGGCAACAAAGUGACUCAGGGAUCCCUGUCCACACAUCCACUCUCUUUCAGCUUCUUUCCCCACAUAGAUGAUCACAGCAUAUUGGAUAGAGUUCCAAUGAGUCGCUGUUUCAUUGGCCAAUAUGGAGCCUUUAAUGAAAAAAAAAAGUGCAGGAUAUUGAGACAUGUCAACAUUUUCAGAACCCAUCAACAGUGCAAUAGGGAUACUGUGGACGGGAUUGUAAAUUGGUGCAACCCCUGUGGAAAACAGGAUGGAGAUUCCUCAGAAAACUAGAAAUAGAACUCCCAUUUGAUCCAGCAAUCCCACACCUGGGCAUCUAUCCAGAGAAAACCACGACUGGAAAAGACACAUGUACACCAAUGUUCACUGCGGCACUAUUCACAAUAGCCAAGACACGGAAACAACCUAAAUGUCCAUCAGCAGAGGAGUGAAUCAAGAACAUGUGGCCCAUUUGCACACACAUGACUCAGCCAUUAAAAGCCAUUAAAAGGAAAGAAAUACCAGCAUUUUUAGCAACAUGGAUGGACCUAGAAAUUAUCAUGCUAAGUGAACUCAGUCAGACAGUGAGACACCAACAUCAAAUGCUUUCACUGAAAUGUGGAAUCUAACAAAAGGACAGAAUGAACUUUGCAGAACAGAUACGGACUCACAGACUUUGAAAAAUUUACAGUUUCCAAACGAGACAGGAUGGGGGGUGGGGGGAUGCACAGAGGGUUUGGGAUGGACAUGCCAUAAAAUUUGGUUGGGGUGAUUGUUGUACACCCAUAAAUGUAAUAAAAUUCAUUAAGUAAUUUUAAAAAGAAAACAAACAAACAACAACAAAGAAAACAUUUGCUGAACCCUAAUUGAUGUAUUUUCUGAGAGCUAUUCCCUUUUAGGAUAUCAAUCCAUUUUGACAGUGCCCUCCAAGUUCUGAGCAUCCAAUGUGUUUUCUCUUCUUUACUGAGGUAUAACUGCCAUAUAAUAUUAGAGUCGUUUCAUUUGCACAUAAUGACUUGGUAUUUGUAUACCCUGAGAAAGGAUCCCACGAUUGAGUCUACCUCAUCUUCCUCCUCAGCUCACAGUUACAAUUUUUUUCCUGUGGAUAAGCCCGUAUGUCAAUUUCAACAUCGCGGGAGUCGCAAAGGGGGCAGAGAGGACCAUUCUUAAGCUAAAUAUACAGAGAUGGGGUUUGUUUUAUUUCAUUUCACUUUUAUUUCUAAGCUUUAGUGUCUUUUUGAAAACUCAUAGAUUUGUAUUCUUUAGAGGAGUUUGAGGUUUACAGAAAAGCAGAGCAGAAAGCACAGAGAUUUCCUAUCCACCCUCUUUCCUCCCACUCCGGCACAGUAUUGUUUAAAAUGUAUUUUAUUAGAGUAGAGUUGACGUACGACAUUGUGUUAAUUUCUGCGGUACAGAAAAGUGAUGCCGUCUGUCUAUCUAUUCUUUUUCAUAUUCAUCUCCACGAUGAUUUAUCACAAGAUACUGAAUAAAAUUCCCAGUGCUAUACUGUUGCUCCUUGUUGUUUGUCCAUGCUAUAUAUUUUUAAAAAUUUAUUUUAUUGAAGUAUAGUUGAUUCACAGUGUUCUGUUAAUUUCUGCCACACAGCAAAGUGACACAGUUAUCCAUCUAUAUAAAAUAAUAUGAAAAGGAAUAUACAUUUAUAUAUUCUUACAUAUAUUAUUUUUCAUAUAAUUUUCCAUCAUGGUAAUCUAUCUACCUAUGUAUCUAUGUGUCUUUGUACCUGUGUAUGUAUGUAUGUAUGUAUCUACCUAUCUGUCUAUAUACCUCUAUCUAUCUAUCUAUCUAUCUAUCUAUCUAUCUAUCUAUCUAUUCUUUUUCAUAGUCUUUCCAUGAUGCUUUAUCACAGGAUGUUGAAUAGAGUUCCCUGGGCUCCAUAGGAGGACACUGUUGUUUAUCCAUCCUGUAUAUAUCAGUUUGCACCUGCUAAUCCCAAAGUCCCUGUCCCUCCCUCCCCCAGCCCCCUUCCUCCUUGGCAACCACAAGUCUGUUCUCAACAGUAUGUCAUAUUUUUAACAUCUUGCAUUCGUGUGGUUCAUUUGUUAUAACUGAUGAGCCAACACGGCUACAUUAUUAUUCACUAAAACCCACAGUUUACCUUAAGCGUCACUCAUUGCAUAUCCCGUGGGUUCUGACAAAUGGCUGGUGACCUCCUUCUACCACAGAAUUAUGUCAGGGUCCUCAAACCCCUUCCUUUCCAAGAUCCCUGGUUACCCCUGAGCCUUUACUCUCCCUUGUAGUUUUGUCUUUUGUUUAUCCUACGUUUUUUCUUUUUACAGCAUAUGGAAGUUCCCAGGCCAGGAAUCAAAUCCAAGCUGCAUGUAUGACCUACCCUGUAGCUUGUAGCAACACUGGAUCCUUAACUCACUGAGCGAGGCCAGGCAUUGAACCCUCAUCCUCAGACUAUAU